rnacentral:rRNA from 1 species
UAAGAGGACCGGUUAGUUCUUCGGAGCGAAGCUGAGAAUUUAAGCCCCAGUAAACGGCGGUGGUAACUAUAACCAUCCUAAGGUAGCGAAAUUCCUUGUCGGGUAAGUUCCGACCUGCACGAAUGGCGUAACGACUUCUCCACUGUCUCAACCACGAACUCGGCGAAAUUGCACUACGAGUAAAGAUGCUCGUUACGCGCAGCAGGACGGAAAGACCCCGGGACCUUUACUACAGCUUGGUAUUGGUGUUCGGUACGGCUUGUGUAGGAUAGGUGGGAGACUGUGAAGCAUGCACGCCAGUGUGUGUGGAGUCAACGUUGAAAUACCACUCUGGUCGUUCUGGAUAUCUAACCUCGGUCCGUGAUCCGGAUCAGGGACAGUGCCUGGUGGGUAGUUUAACUGGGGCGGUUGCCUCCUAAAAGGUAACGGAGGCGCCCAAAGGUUCCCUCAGCCUGGUUGGCAAUCAGGUUUUGAGUGUAAGUGCACAAGGGAGCUUGACUGUGAGACAGGCAUGUCGAGCAGGGACGAAAGUCGGGACUAGUGAUCCGGCGGUGGCUUGUGGAAGCGCCGUCGCUCAACGGAUAAAAGGUACCCCGGGGAUAACAGGCUGAUCUUGCCCAAGAGUCCAUAUCGACGGCAUGGUUUGGCACCUCGAUGUCGGCUCGUCGCAUCCUGGGGCUGGAGUAGGUCCCAAGGGUUGGGCUGUUCGCCCAUUAAAGCGGUACGCGAGCUGGGUUUAGAACGUCGUGAGACAGUUCGGUCCCUAUCCGCUGUGCGCGUAGGAAACUUGAGAAGAGCUGUCCCUAGUACGAGAGGACCGGGAUGGACGAACCUCUGGUGUGUCAGUUGUUCUGCCAAGAGCACGGCUGAUUAGCUACGUUCGGAAGUGAUAACCGCUGAAAGCAUCUAAGCGGGAAGCACGCUUCAAGAUGAGG